rnacentral:rRNA from 1 species
UACAGAGACCUCAAGCGUUAUCCGGAAUCAUUGGGCGUAAAGCGUACCGAUAGGUGGUUUACAAAGUCAGAGGUGAAAUCUCAAGGCUCAACCUUGAGUCUGUCCUUUGAUACUUGUAAACUAGAGGGGCAAAGAGGAAGCUGGAACGAACGGUGUAGUAGUGAAAUGCGUUGAUAUCGUUCGGAACACCAAUAGCGUAGGCAAGCUUCUGGGUGCCACCUGACACUGCUAGGACGAAAGCGUGGGGAGCGAUCCGG